AGUACAACUGCUGGAUCAGAUGGUAAGAGUAUGUUUAGUUUUGUAAGGAACUGCCAAACUGCUUUCCAAAGUGGCUGUACCAUUUUGCAUUCCCACCGGAAU
rnacentral:pre_miRNA from 1 species